UACGUAGGGGGCGAGCGUUGUCCGGAUUUAUUGGGCGUAAAAGGCUUGUAGGUGGCCACGGAAAGUCGGAUGUGAAAUCUCCCGGCUCAACUGGGAGGGGUCAUUCGAUACUGCCGGGCUCGAGGCCGGUAGGGGGAAGCGGAAUUCCCGGUGUAGUGGUGGAAUGCGUAGAGAUCCGGAGGAAGACCGGUGGCGAAGGCGGCCUGCUGGGCAGUUACUGACACUGAUGCGCGACAGCGUGGGGAGCAAACAGG
rnacentral:rRNA from 1 species